rnacentral:rRNA from 1 species
UACGUAGGGGGCAAGCGUUGUCCGGAUUUAUUGGGCGUAAAGAGCGUGUAGGCGGCUAUACAGGUCCGUUGUGAAAACUCGAGGCUCAACCUCGAGACGCCGAUGGAAACCGUAUGGCUAGAGUCCGGAAGAGGAGAGCGGAAUUCCUGGUGUAGCGGUGAAAUGCGCAGAUAUCAGGAAGAACACCGGUGGCGAAGGCGGGUCUCUGGGCCGAUACUGACGCUGAGGAGCGAAAGCGUGGGGAGCGAACAGG